rnacentral:rRNA from 1 species
AGCGAACGCUGGCGGCAGGCCUAACACAUGCAAGUCGAACGAACCCUUCGGGGUUAGUGGCGGACGGGUGAGUAACACGUGGGAACGUACCUUUAGGUUCGGAACAACACAGGGAAACUUGUGCUAAUGCCGAAUGUGCCCUUCGGGGGAAAGAUUUAUCGCCUUUAGAGCGGCCCGCGUCUGAUUAGCUUGUUGGUGAGGUAAAGGCUCACCAAGGCUACGAUCAGUAGCUGGUCUGAGAGGAUGAUCAGCCACACUGGGACUGAGACACGGCCCAGACUCCUACGGGAGGCAGCAGUGGGGAAUCUUGCGCAAUGGGCGAAAGCCUGACGCAGCCAUGCCGCGUGAAUGAUGAAGGUCUUAGGAUUGUAAAAUUCUUUCACCGGGGAAGAUAAUGACGGUACCCGGAGAAGAAGCCCCGGCUAACUUCGUG